rnacentral:lncRNA from 1 species
AUGAACUCUGCCACCCAUACAACUCAGCUUGCAACCACCCCUGGCCACAACCAGUUUCCCCACACUGAGGUGAAUGUUGGACAUUACUAUUUUAGACAUUACGACCUAUUCUGAAAUUCCAGAUCAAUUUAUCUGAGAAACUCUGAUGUUCUAGGGCAAUUUAACUGGAAAAGAUCAGCUGGAGUCAUGUGUCAUUUCAAUCAACAACUGUUUAAAAGGAAGGGGCAUCAAAACUAAUAGUAUCAAAUUAUUUAUAAGGGUUGUAUACUGGUUCCUCCAAGCAUCUCUCCUUCACAACAUCACUCCUUUCAAGAGCUGCUUCUUUUUUUCUAAUUUAGCUCAGGAAUUUAGAUGUUCCUACAUAACGGGCCAUCCAGUAUUCACCCACACCACUUUUUGUAGGAAUCCAUAUGGAGCCACUACCACCAUCCCUGCUCUCCUACUGCAUAACCCAACAGGCCAAAGUGCAGUGCUCACACCUGUAAUCCGAGUGCUUUGGGAGGCCAUAGAGGAAGAUCAUUUGAGGCUAGAAGCCUGAGACCAGCUUGGGCAACAUAGUGAGACCUCAUUUCUACACAAAAGUGUAAAACAAAAGGGGACAUGGUGAUGCAUACCUGUAGUCCUAGCUAUUCAGCAGGCUGAGGUAAGAAGAUCACUUGAGUCCAGGAGAUUUGAGGCUGAAGUGAGCUAGAUUACGCCACUGCGCUCUAGUCUGGGCAGCAGAGAGAGACUCCAUCUCUAAAAAGACAGAUAAGAAGAAAGGAGAUGGAGGAGGAGGAGAAUACUGCUUCUUCCUAGACCCAAAGUAAAAAGGAUUUUAGUCUCAUGUUGAUGAGAAAGACACUGAUAUUUAAUUAAGCAAUAUAAAAAGGAUUGUUUUAGAACAGAGAAUUAAAGAGAAAGUAAAAUUAACAUUGAGAUAGGAGGACUGAAGACAUCAACUGACUUCCAAUCCCAAUGAAGAGGAGAAAAAGAUACAACUAUAUAGGUGGUAUAUCUACUUAUCACAGAAGAAGCCUUUUGACAGCAAAAUAGAAUUCAUACCUCUUAGGUUUUAAAAUUCCUAUGUAUGCUGUAGCAAAUAACCAUAAUUGGGGUGGCUUAAAGUAACAGGUGUUUAUUCUUUUCCAGUACUGGAAACCAGGAAUCUGAGAUCAAGGUGAGGGCUGGGCUGAGCUCCCCCUGGAAGCUCUAGGGGAGGAUCUUUCCCUCCUCUUCCAGCUCUUGGUGGCUCCAG